AAUCCUCAAACCCUUCCAGUUGUCAUGGGCUGGUUGUGGUUUGGAUCUUGGGGGCUUUGCUGGCCUUAGUAAGUCAGCUCCCCUAAAAUGCAUUAGCGGAACCGUUUGCGGUCUGUCACUGGUGUGAUAAUUAUCUACACCUAGGGCUGCUCUCUGUCUUGUUCAGCUUCCAAUCGUCUCUUGGUAGACAAAAUAUUGAAUGU
rnacentral:misc_RNA from 1 species